AGACCAAGAAAAGAAAAAAGGCAAACAGAAUUGGGAUAUAAAAUUAAAAGGCAAAUAGAAUUGGGGUAAAAAAUUAACACCCUAAUCCAGAUGUAUGACAAUAAAUUAACUCCUCACGAAUUUCUUAACCAUUUGCUGGAUUCCUGAAAAAUAUCUGGAUUAUAUGCAAAUAUUCCCUUAGAUAACGGAAAGCUCCGUGAAUAAUUUAGGCAGAAUAUAUAUUUAAUUGAAUAUAACACAAAUGAAUCAAGAAGUUUGAUUAAUAUCACUAUGAAAUAACCUUUCAGCUGAAGUUCCUCCAGCAUUCCAUCCACCACCACCACCUUCAGUCCCUCCAGCAUUCCAUGCACCAUCACCACCAGCUGAGGUCCCUCCAGCAUUCCAUGCAGCAUUGCCAGUUGAUUUCCCACCAGCAUUCCAUGCACCAUCAUCACCAGCUGAUGUUCCUCCAGCAUUCCAUGCAGCACCCCCAGUUGAUGUCCCUCCAGCAUUCCAUGCACCAUCACUACCAGCU